rnacentral:rRNA from 1 species
UACGUAGGGGGCAAGCGUUGUCCGGAAUCAUUGGGCGUAAAGAGCGUGUAGGCGGCUUGGCAAGUCUGACGUGAAAUCCCGCGGCUCAACCGCGGUCGGUCGUUGGAAACUGCCUGGCUAGAGUCCGGAAGAGGAGAGCGGAAUUCCGUGGUGUGAGCGGUGGAAUGCGCAGAUAUCAGGAGGAACACCCGUGGCGAAGGCGGCUCUCUGGGACGGUACUGACGCUGAGACGCGAAAGCGUGGGGAGCGAACAGG